ACCGAUUGACCUGUGAGUCUUCAAGCAGUAAUGAUGACUACGCCUGCCUUAAGUUCCAGUUUCCUGAACAUCAUGGCAUGUCUGCAGGAGAUUCGGUCCCCACCUGUCUUCAGUCUGGACCUAAUGACUCAGACACCAGUCUUGUCGAGGCUAAAUCGAGAGAGGAUCACCUGAUGUCAACAUACGAGUUUUCAAGAAGAACUUCCUGAACUUUGAGUCUGUGUGAGACUCUACCAUGCUGGGUGCCCUCUUCAGUCAAGUCUGGACACAGAGACUCAUUGCUCUUCAUCAACUCUGGGCAAGUGGCUAAUCUUUUGCUUAUUCAUGGGAUAUCCUUCAUGUCCACAUCCUGUUUCUUCAAGAUCUCAACAAUGCUUUGUGAGUAUACAACACAUGUGAGUGGAUCAGUUCAACCUGUUUUUCACAGAAUGUUAGUUUCUUAAGGUUUUCAUCAACGAUGGUUUGUAUCUUGUUUUCCAAAAGGUGUUAUUAAGAUAUUUCCAUUUGUAAUUUACAAUAAUCAAAUGUUGACUGUAAAAUCAAUGCCAACCUAUUGUUAUACACUGUACCAUGUUUUUGCAAAGGAAUUCUGGUGACUUUAGUUGCCAGCAACUUCCUUUGAACUUUGUAAUAAAAUACCGUAACUGUAAUAAAGUUUACAGCAUAACUGUUGUUUUUACAAAACUUACUGUCAUGUCUUGUAUGUUCACCGUUAAUUGGAACUUUUCAAUAAAGUACCAUAAUAUAUUAUACAGUU